AUUGAACGCUGGCGGCAGGCUUAACACAUGCAAGUCGAGCGGAGAUGAGGUGCUUGCACCUUAUCUUAGCGGCGGACGGGUGAGUAGUGCUUAGGAAUCUGCCUAUUAGUGGGGGACAACAUUCCGAAAGGAAUGCUAAUACCGCAUACGCCCUACGGGGGAAAGCAGGGGAUCUUCGGACCUUGCGCUAAUAGAUGAGCCUAAGUCGGAUUAGCUAGUUGGUGGGGUAAAGGCCUACCAAGGCGACGAUCUGUAGCGGGUCUGAGAGGAUGAUCCGCCACACUGGGACUGAGACACGGCCCAGACUCCUACGGGAGGCAGCAGUGGGGAAUAUUGGACAAUGGGCGGAAGCCUGAUCCAGCCAUGCCGCGUGUGUGAAGAAGGCCUUUUGGUUGUAAAGCACUUUAAGCGAGGAGGAGGCUACCUGGAUUAAUACUCUAGGAUAGUGGACGUUACUCGCAGAAUAAGCACCAGCUAACUCUGUGCCAGCAGCCGCGGUAACAC
rnacentral:rRNA from 1 species